GUGCUUGCUUCGGCAGCACAUAUACUAAACUGGAAUGAUACAGAGAUUAGCAUGGCCUCUGUGCAAGGAUGCAAUGCAAAUUUGUGAAGCAUUCCGUAUUUUU
ensembl:snRNA U6 U6 spliceosomal RNA